AUUGAACGCUAGCGGCAGGCUUAACACAUGCAAGUCGAGCGGUAACAGAGAGAAGAUUGCUUCUCUGCUGACGAGCGGCGGACGGGUGAGUAAUGCCUAGGAAUCUGCCUAGUAGUGGGGGAUAACUUGCCGAAAGGUAAGCUAAUACCGCAUACGUCCUACGGGAGAAAGGAGGGGACCUUCGGGCCUUUCGCUAUUAGAUGAGCCUAGGUCGGAUUAGUUAGUUGGUGAGGUAAUGGCUCACCAAGACCGCGAUCCGUAACUGGUCUGUGAGGAUGAUCAGUCACACUGGAACUGGGACACGGUCCAGACUCCUACGGGAGGCAGCAGUGGGGAAUAUUGGACAAUGGGGGGAACCCCGAUCCAGCCAUGCCGCGUGUGUGAAGAAGGUCUUAGGAUUGUAAAGCACUUUAAGUUGGGAGGAAGAGCAGUUAACUAAUAUUUGACUGUUUUGACGUUACCGACAGAAUAAGCACCGGCUAACUUCGUGCCAGCCGCCGCCGUAA
rnacentral:rRNA from 1 species